AUUUUACCUCUCUUAGUAAAACUCUGAAAGCGCUUACAUAACCUAGGCAGAAAACACUGCAAAAAGGCCACUGAACACCUGUUGAGAAACAAGGUAGUUUUCUUUCUUGGAAUUGCAAGAGCUAUAUAGAUAUUUUGUGACCUUAACACUAUUUAGCUAUCACCCAUGAGCAAACCAAAGCAUGUUCUUAACCACUAUACUACCCUUAAGUCAGAAAUGCCACUCCUGGGACUGUAUCCUGAGCAAUCUUAGGGUACAAAGAUUUUUACAAUGGCAUUACUCAAAGUAACAAAAAAUUGGAAAUAACUAAGCUUUUUUUUUUUUUUUUUUUUUUGAGACAAGGUCUCACUCUGUUGCCAGCCU